ACACUCUUAAAACUACUUACGUAAUACAUUUACUUUAGUUUUGUUGUCAAUAAAUUACGUAAGCUACUUACGUGAGUAAAACUUAUAGGCGUAGCCGCGGCCUU